UACGUAGGGCGCAAGCGUUGUCCGGAAUCAUUGGGCGUAAAGAGCUCGUAGGCGGCCUGUUGCGUCCGCUGUGAAGUCCCGGGGCUUAACCCCGGGCGUGCAGUGGAUACGGGCUGGCUGGAGGCAGGCAGGGGAGAACGGAAUUCCCGGUGUAGCGGUGAAAUGCGCAGAUAUCAGGAGGAACACCGGUGGCGAAGGCGGGUCUCUGGGCCAUUACUGACGCUGAGGAGCGAAAGCGUGGGGAGCAAACAGG
rnacentral:rRNA from 1 species